rfam:Oryza sativa (indica cultivar-group) chromosome 11, whole genome shotgun sequence.
AAAAAGGCAAACUCUGGGUUUCCGUGUCUAACUUUGACUGUCCGUCUUAUAUGAUUUUUUUUAUAAUUUGUAUUUUCAUUGUUAUUAGAUGAUAAAACAUGAUUAAUAUUUUAUACGUGACUUGUCUUUUUUCUUAUAUAAUUUUUUUAAAUAAGACGGACGAUCAAACGUUAGACACGGAAAUCAGGGUUUGUCUUUUU